UUGGCAUCACAUCCAAUGUUGUUCUACAAAGUUUCGCCUGUUUUCGCUCCAAAAGGCCCAAAUUUUUAGCCUCAAUACAAGCUUCUUUUGUCCAUGCAUUUUCAUCCCAGGAACGACCCAGAGCUCUUUUUCAAAAAUGGGAGCUCUAAAGUGAAAGGAACGAAAUGUGAAAAAUAAAAAUUAUCAAAGAAGAAGAAAAAAAAAGAAGCUACUUUAUUUUACUGAUAGGUCCAUCGACACAUUCCAUUAAAUCGAUAAAUAUAAGAAAAGGAUUCGUUCUUGCCUCAAAACUUCUAGGAAAACCAAAGAAAAUUAUUUGCCGAGUGGAGUGAAUUAAUUACAACCGCGGGCGCAACAUUGAAUGAAAUCGUCAUUUUGGCCUCACACGAAGAUAAGAGAAAUGAUAAAAAAAAAGUGGUUAAGUUGGAAAAAUAGAAGAAAAAGAGGAAAAAACAACUUACAACCACUUGAUGCACGCGCCAUUAUUAACGAGGAAAAAGAGUAAAAGAAGACAUAUUUUCCUAGUUGCACGAGUUGUCAUCUUUAAAUCACAUUAUUUCUUGUUUCUCGGCUCGAAAAUUGAAGAGGAUAAUACAGGUGGUGUUCGAGUAUAUGCGAAACAUUGAAAACUAGCAGGAUGAUAUGUUAUGGUGAUGGUGAAGACUGAAGAUUGUGUUACACAGAAGAGGUGGUGGUAAUUCUAGUGGUGGGUAACCGGUGUAUAUAGGAAUCAGAGGAGGCUGGAGUCGGCGCGUGGACAAGAGAAAAUAAAUUGAGAAUUUUUUUUUUUUGGGGGAGAAAAAGAAGAAAUUUCAACAAGAGAAAAAGAGAGAACGAAAGAAUUCUAGUAUUGUAUAUUUCAUUAAAACAAAAAAAAUAAAAAGAGGUGAAGAAAUUUCUCUCUCUCAAAGUUCCAUUGCAGAAGGAGGAGACGAAGGAUAUGGACCAGUUGUGCCCCUCUUUUCUAUUUCGUGAAUUUUUAAUCGACGUCUCUCACAGGCCAUUUAGCAAUCUUGGUCAAAAUGGUUGUGAAAUGAAAUGUAUAUAUAUAUAUAGAGAGAGAGAGAGUGAGAUUUCACACAAAGGUAAAUUGUUACUCUUCACGUUUCAUGACGAGCGAUGCAUCAUGGGGUUGUGGAAGCGAAUCAAGGGAUAGAACAGGAGUUUGGGGGUAAGUCGCUUUUAAUAGCCGAGCAACUCACAGCUGCUGCCGCGCUUUUGUCUCUAUAUCAUACUCUGCUUGAUUCGAAGCUUGAUGGCACACACAAGUCCUGCGUGCCUGUGCAAAAUUAUGACAGGAAAUCGAAGAAAAUUUUAUCCUUUUUUCCCAUAUAUAUAAAAAAAAAAAUUCAUUUUUCCAAAUACAGAAAAAAAAACCAUAAAAAUCACAAAUUUUU